UACGGAGGGAGCUAGCGUUGUUCGGAUAUACUGGGCGUAAAGCGCACGUAGGCGGCACCGUAAGUCAGGGGUGAAAUCCCGGGGCUCAACCCCGGAACUGCCUUUGAUACUGGUAGUCUCGAGUCCGGAAGAGGUGAGUGGAAUUCCGAGUGUAGAGGUGAAAUUCGUAGAUAUUCGGAGGAACACCAGUGGCGAAGGCGGCUCACUGGUCCGGUACUGACGCUAAGGUGCGAAAGCGUGGGGAGCAAACAGG
rnacentral:rRNA from 1 species